rnacentral:rRNA from 1 species
UACGGGGGGGGCAAGCGUUGUUCGGAAUUACUGGGCGUAAAGGGCUCGUAGGCGGCCAACUAAGUCGGACGUGAAAUCCCUCGGCUUAACCGGGGAACUGCGUCCGAUACUGGAUGGCUUGAGUUCGGGAGAGGGAUGCGGAAUUCCAGGUGUAGCGGUGAAAUGCGCAGAUAUCGGGAAGAACACCCGUGGCGAAGGCGGCUCUCUGGGACGGUACUGACGCUGAGACGCGAAAGCGUGGGGAGCGAACAGG